AGAGGUAAAUCUUGAACAUGACUUACAGUAAGAGGAACAACGAGUGGUUCACUUUACCGGUAUAAUCUGAGCAGAAUCUCCUUCAACGCUGGUGAUGCACGUUCAAAACACGCCAUGCUCCGAUGUGUUGAUCCUGUGGGUGGAAUGAACUUCACAUGAAGAUAUGUAUGUAAAAACAGGUUAUUUUUUACUGAUGAGUUGUG
rnacentral:lncRNA from 1 species